UACGGAGGGUGCGAGCGUUGUCCGGAUUUAUUGGGCGUAAAGAGCGUGUAGGCGGCCAGACAGGUCCGUUGUGAAAACUCGAGGCUCAACCUCGAGACGCCGAUGGAAACCGUCUGGCUAGAGUCCGGAAGAGGAGAGUGGAAUUCCUGGUGUAGCGGUGAAAUGCGCAGAUAUCAGGAAGAACACCCGUGGCUAAGGCGGCUCUCUAGUACGGUACUGACGCUGAGACGCGAAAGCGUGGGGAGCGAACAGG
rnacentral:rRNA from 1 species